UUUCCGUAGGUGAACCAGCGGAAGGAUCAUUACUGUAUCACCCAGGCUCGAGGACUCUCGUUAACCCGAAUGGUGUUGCACGGCCGGGUGCCCCCACGCACACCUAUCGGACCCCUGUGAGCACCACCCCGCCGGGGCCCCUUUACCUUGUUCGGUUGUGGUCGUACGUUUUCACUCAAACUUUGUAUUAAGUGAAGAAUGUAUAUUUUGUUUUUCCGAGCUCUCAAUUAAAACAACUAUCAACAACGUAGGACUUGGCCCUCGCAUCGAUGAAGAACC
rnacentral:misc_RNA from 1 species